rnacentral:tRNA from 1 species
UCCCUGAGGGUCCAGUGGUUAGGACUCAGCACUUUCACAGCUGAGGGCCUGGGUUCGAUCUCUGAUCUGGGAU